GGGAGCGCUGCUGCAGCCAGGACUGCCCAGGCUUGGAGUGGCCACUGCAGGAGGCAGGAGGUGGCUGGAGAAUGGCUUGGCAUCAUUAUCCUGUGGGCUGGGACACAGUGAAGUCGUGGAUCUUCAGAGCUCAGGACACAUCACUGGCUGGCAACGCUGGGACAGCCCUGCCCAAACAUCACCCGAGCAGAGAGGGCCCUCUGUCUCCGUGGAAGUGGGAUUCCAUCAUCUGGGCACCUUUCCAGUGGGUAUUAAGGCACAUUCAUCCUGGCAUCGCUGAGGGACAAGCAGGGGUGCAGCCUCCACGGCAG